CGCUCUGUAGCUCAAUAGUAGAGCACCCGGCUGAUAACCGGAAGACGUUGGAGCAUAACCAUCCAGAGCGA
rnacentral:tRNA from 1 species